CAGGGAUUGCCCUAGUAACGGCGAGUGAAGCGGCAACAGCUCAAAUUUGAAAUCUGGCCUUCGGGUCCGAGUUGUAAUUUGUAGAGGAUGCUUUUGGUGCAGUGCCUUCCGAGUUCCUUGGAACAGGACGCCUUAGAGGGUGAGAGCCCCGUACGGUUGGACACUAAGCCUCUGUAAAGCUCCUUCGACGAGUCGAGUAGUUUGGGAAUGCUGCUCUAAAUGGGAGGUAAAUUUCUUCUAAAGCUAAAUACCGGCCAGAGACCGAUAGCGCACAAGUAGAGUGAUCGAAAGAUGAAAAGUACUUUGAAAAGAGGGUUAAAUAGCACGUGAAAUUGUUGAAAGGGAAGCGUUUAUGACCAGACCUUUGCCGGGCGGAUCAUCCGGUGUUCUUCACCGGUGCACUUCGCCCGGCUUAGGCCAGCAUCGAUUUCUGGAGGGGGACAAAGACCAUGGGAACGUAGCUCUCUUCGGGGAGUGUUAUAGCCCUAGGUGUAAUACCCUUCCGGGGAUCGAGGUUCGCGCUUCUGCAAGGAUGCUGGCGUAAUGGUCAUCAACGACCCGUCUUGAAACACGGACCAAGGAGUCGAACAUUUAUGCGAGUGUUUGGGUGUUAAACCCUCACGCGUAAUGAAAGUGAACGGAGGUGAGAGCCCUUUUUGGGUGCAUCAUCGACCGAUCCUGAUGUAUUCGGAAGGAUUUGAGUAAGAGCAUAACUGUUCGGACCCGAAAGAUGGUGAACUAUGCGUGGAUAGGGUGAAGCCAGAGGAAACUCUGGUGGAGGCUCGCAGCGGUUCUGACGUGCAAAUCGAUCGUCAAAUCUGCGCAUGGGGGCGAAAGACUA
rnacentral:rRNA from 1 species